GGCCGCGCCGCCCCGCUCCGCGCCUCUCCCGGGAGCCGCCCCGCAGGCGGCUCCGCGCCCCUUCCCGGGCCCCGCCGCUGCCGUCCGGCCGGGUCCGGCUCGGGCCGGUCCGGCCGCACCUGCACCUGCGCCAGCGCCAGCGCCGCGGGGAAGGCGCUCGCCCCUCUGCGCCCCUCCGCACCUCACGCCACCUCCGCCCUCCCUUACCUGGCGCCGGGCCGCGGCCCCGGCCGCUCCCGCGCGGCGCUUUUGUGGGCGCGGGGCAGCGCAGCGCGGCGAGCAGCGCAGAAAAACACCUUCUCAUCUAAAAGUCCUCCUUAAGACUUUUCUGUUCAAGGAACCCACCUCAGUGAAAGCAAAUGAAACAGAAACCAGGGUGAGGAUAAAAUUCCAAGAAGACACUGGCACAGACAUACCUCAAAGCAUUUAUUGCUGGGAAACAAGUGAGCCUCUGGGGCUGUGCUGCUGCAACAGCUCCAAGAUGUCCUUCCCUUCAGCUAUAUCAAAUGAUUGACAGGGGCCUGCAGAAGAACUACCGGCUCUGAGAUUUAUAUAAGAAAAACUAAUAGAAGAAAAAAGUUACACACUAGUUCCUGUUUUUUUAACUUUUCAAUGAUUCCAUCACUAGCUCGCUAUGGACUUAAUGUUUUGAAGAGAUAAAAUCUUGCUGAAACCAAUUCCAAUUGCAAAACUAAUUCCAUCCUUAUCUCUAGCAGGUCAGCCAUUUCAAUGGUGUUGAAGAUCAUUGAUUCUGUAACUUUGCCUAUGAUUAAGGAACAAAAAAUCCUACUGCUAUUGCAGCAUCUCCCCAGUGUGAUGCUUGGACAUGUAAUUAAGUUAGCAGGGUUUUAGCAAGUACCAUUUGUACUGUGGUAACUGUGGAGAUAGGGAUACAUAGGCUGCUAGGCAGCAGCAAAUGCAUGGUGACGUGACUUGUUCUGACAGGAGAGAGAGCUAAGCUAACUUGCACACUGAUUGCCUGUAGCAAAUGCAAAAUAAAACAUGCUGACAAUUGCUGCAGUUCAGCUGAUGUAUAGUAACUUGUUAAUCUGUGGUAACUUAAUGAUGCCUCUGAGCUCAUAAGACAGUUGAGUUUACUACACUGCUCUUCGCUUAGAUCCUGUUCUAUCAAUAAUUGAUUUUUUCUUUUGUCUUCCUGUAGGCUUCCGUGGGUUUCAGAUCUAUAUGUAUGUGAAUGUGUAUUCUGUUAGACACACAGAAACUGGACAUUACAAGUUAUGCCAGGAUUCAUACUGGCUGGGAUGGUCUUAUUUAAGAAAUAGGUAUAUGUGACAGAAGACAGAAACAAUAGAGUAACCAUGAUAAAGGUAGCUGGUUCCAAACACAGGCUUCAGCACCAACAAAAGAGAGUGGAAAAGUUUGAAGGGGCUCUGUGUAGCAAGAAGAUGUCACAUACCAUCGAAGCCUUACUGCAACAGGAUGGGAUGAAACAACGCUGGGAGGGAGCUGGCACUGCAGCAGCCUAUGGCAGGAUUUAGCACUGAUGACUCAAAAGGGAACUGUUAAAGGUGAAAGGCCAGACAACUGGAGGACGAAAACCCUUCCCUUUCUUUUCUUUCUCCAUUCUCCCUUACAUGGCCAGAUGAAUCCCAACAUUAAUGAAGGGAUAGCAAUUGCUUCUGAUUUAGUGCUUGAAACUGAGUACUGUUCUGUAUGCACAAAAGGUUACUGACUGGACAGUGAAAGAGUGGAGGAAAAUGAGUAAAGAAAAUAAGCCUUUUCAGGAUGCCAUUUUUAAGAAACAGUAUACAUCUAAUGGGAGCAAAAAAAUAAAUGUAACUUUAGGACUUUUUCCCUCCUGAGUGGUAAUGCAAGCCAAAGGAAAGACGAUGAGAAAACUUGUAUGGAAUUUGGAGUGAAAAUCAAUCCAAUGGGAGAAAAAUCACUUUUCUUUAUUAGCAUAUAAUGUGUCUUAGUCCCUGUUUUCCAUUGCAGCAUAGGUCCUUUAGGGGCCUUACAUGAAUUCAUGUCUGAACCAAUCCUUAUUUUCCUUAGAAAAGGUCUGAUGAAGUAUUGAUUCUUGCUCCACAUUUUGAUACUUGUUCUCACUGGCCAAAAAAAGUUCUUAGGAAAAAAGAAUUAAUAGCAACAGCCUGGAAGACUUGUUUGUGACAUAGUUUUAAUGGCUGGACACAGGCCUUAAAUAAAAAUGUUCAGUCCUGUCUAGGGUUUGCCUUAAAGCCACUUGAUUUUAUAAAUUGAGCAAGACUUACUGUUGAAUCAGGUGUAUCUGAAAUAAAAAGAAUAUUAUCUAGUUUGAAAAUUACAGGUAAAAAAGACUAUGAAAUUAACUUCAUGUAUUAUGUAUAUACAGCACUCUUUGCUUGGGAUGCAGUAGGAUUUAUUUAUGAAAUAAUGUGUUGGUGAUAUUGCAUAUACUAAAUACUUUGUAAAUAAAUGAAGUUAUUAAUAAACUAGAAAAUUUUUGAAUUCA